rnacentral:misc_RNA from 1 species
AAGUCGUAACAAGGUUUCCGUAGGUGAACCUGCGGAAGGAUCAUUAACACUUUUCAUCCCUAACAUACUUGCAGAGGAAGGAAGCUUUCUAAGCGACUUUUCUCUGUAGGUUACCAACCCCUUUGUGUGCACUUGUUGAGAGGAACAUCUAAGUUCGCUUAGGUCAACUCCUCUUGCUUUUUUUCAACUUUUACCUUUUUUUUACCCCUUUUCUAAUGCGAUAGACUGAAAUAAUAACCUUUUUGGAAGGGUUUAAAACAUCCAAAAGAGUAAUACAACUCUUAGCAACGGAUAUCUAGGCUCUC